UCUUUACAAUAAAUGUAUUUUAUAUUUUUAUUUAUAAAGUGGAUAAUAUAUUAAAUAUAUAAUUGUUUCGCUGGGGCGGCGUAGAUAUACAAAUAAACUGUCUAUAUUUUAAACACAAUAAUUAUUGAUUAAUAAGAUCGAUCCUUGAAUAGAUUAAAAGAUUAAGAU
rnacentral:rRNA from 1 species